UGGCGUGGCCGCUCUCAAGCUUCUCUCUGGUGAUAAAGGCUGCGUUCCGAAAUUCACUGCCAGUACUAAAAUUCUAAGCUGCGUUCGGAAAUGUCACUCGAGUACUUUUCCUCUCUUUUUAUUUCACUCUUGUAUCUCGCUCACUCCAACGUAACGGGACACUUGGGUGACAUUUCCGAACGCUGCCCUAUAGUUACAUAAUAUGAACUAUAGUUUUUCAGUACUGACAGUAAAUUUUGGAACGCAGCCAGAAAGAGAUAGAAAAAAGUUUGGUUAGUUAGGUUAUGGAAACACACGUAUAACUUUGUUUAUAUUCAAGCCAGUAUUCGAAUAUAAAGUAAAAGCUUUUUAUUUAAAACAACAAAAAGCUAGUCUUUUAGACAAUGCCAUCGUGUUGCGUUAAAAAUUGCAAGAGUCGUACAUAUCGUACUGACACAAAAGGUAUAAAAUUUUUUACAUUCCCUAAAGAAAGAACCAUCAGGCAGGAAUGGCUAAAAGCUUGUCAAAGGAGUGAAGAAGAACUAAAAAUUGAAUCUGCAGAUGUUAAGAGUAAUUGUGAAGGAAAACCCGACCUCAUUAAUUUUGCUAAAAUUUGGUAAGAUAGUGUAUUUUGACAUGUAGAAACCGAAUCUGAAAGCCAAAAUCGUCGCUCUUUAUGGUGAAGCGAGAUAUUGAUAAAGUUGAUGACAUUUAAGCUUAGGAAAACUGUCAUACCGACGAUAAUAGCGACAUGUAUAUGCUCCGUGGCUUUAUGAGAGUCCAGGGGGCGAGUCCCCGGUCAGAGGGGGUUUGAGGGAGCUAAAAGCCCCCUCGGUUUGACAAAAAUAACAUUCUAAAAGAAAAGUAAAAAUGCAUCUCACAUGGUAUGUUAAGCGUAUUUUGUUUUUGCGAGAUGCAUUUUUAUUUUUUUUAGAAUGUUAUUUUUGUCAAACCGGAGGGGUUGAAAGCCCCCCCCCCCGAACCCUCCCUCCCGGGGAACCAGGUCCCCCUGACCUGAAUUCCCUUGAGGCCUUGGGUCUUAUACAUGUCGCUAUUUGUCGUCGUUCUACACAGCAAAACAAGAUAUUAAUGAUGAAAAUUGUACAUUAUUUAAAGUUAGGAAACUUGUCAGAACUUAAUACUUUGUUAUAUAUUAUAAUCCAGAUACAAUCCAGAAAAUAAUUAAAUUAAAAUUUCAAAUUGAUGCAUUUUAAUAUAUAAAAUAAUAGUGAAAUAUAAAUACAUAUUGUAAAUGUCAAAAUUUUUAUAUAAAAAUUUGUUAUUAAACUUCUGAUACAUAUGUAUGUACAUCACAGAGUUUAGAAAACUCUGGUUUGUAUACUUCCGCAAUCGCUGAGAAGAAAGCGGAUAGACGCUCUUCAUAUUUAUGUAUGUGUUUGAAGAGAUAUUCAGCUAAAUAUCCCACUCAAUAAUAAAAUCGUGUUCCAUAUCAUGUAAUAUUAGUUUUACAAACACGUUCAAUGUGCUGAGUGUAUGCUCCUAAAUAAACAAUAAAUAUAAAAAUACGUAUAGUUAUGUUAACUGUAGUGUUGUGUAUAUGAAUGCAUAUGUUUUGUAAAUAAGAAUUACAAUUUUAAGUAUAUUAAGCCACAAUCUUUUGCCUUACUAAAUUAAUGAGUCUAAUAUAUACU